rnacentral:lncRNA from 1 species
GCCUUUUUUUUUUUUUUUUUUUUUUUGACUCUUCUUCCCAUGGUUAUGUGAUGAUCUUGUUACACACAAGAAAAAGAUUGCUUUCACAAUCUAGAUUCACCGGAGAACUCCCUAUAGCCUCCCCCUUUCCUCUUCAUCAGGAGGAUCCACCAUGAGAGUCCCUAUAUCUCAACCCGGAGAACUCCUCAAUCCUCUGGAGUUGCUCUUUUCGAAUCUUCAAACCCAGGAUCUUAGCUGUCUAUUUUCUGAAGCUGUAGAGACAGCCACUCAAGGAACAGAUUUUCUAGAGGAUACUUUAUUCAAUUAGUUAGUCAAUUCCCUUGUAGAUGGGAAAUUAUCCCUAAACCAUCCCCACCAACCGAGGAGCCUCUACAGUGAGAAGCAAAGAUGAUGUUGAGAUGUAACAAUAGGAUACCUCAUUUGCAAUGCAAAUGAGCAACCAGCAGGCAAAUAAACCCUUAUGGGAAAACCACUCUAAUCAUAAAAACCCCUUGCUUUGGGGAGACUGCAGUGUAAGGACAAACAGAAUCAUAUCUUCCAGGCUCUUCUCCAAUACAGGAUAUUAAAGAAUUAUCCAGGUAGUUCUCUAUGAAAUUGCAUUUGAAUAUGGCAAAAUGCAUUGCUGGACAAUAGAUAAUAUCUUUAAAACUCCACAAUUGUGGACUGAAUUAUUUAUGGUUGUCACUAUAGCUAUGAUAGUUUGGAAAUAAAAUCGUCAGGCUUUUCUCUGUUUUUAUUUGUAGGAAAACAAGUCAUUCAAGCUUUUUAGUGAUACAAUGUGACUGGCUGUCGAUGGCAGUUACAAUUUUUCAAGCCCUGCCAAACACAGGAGUACCCAGAAGGGACAUAUGUUUUCUGUGCUUUGUGUUCCAAAUUCGCUUUAAAAACAUGCGAUUAUGUGAAGGCCUGAUUUAUAUUUCCAAGGAAAAGCACAAUAAUGGCUGUUUUGUAGCUGUGUUUCUCGAAAACGUGUUUCUAUUGCUGCCUUUUCAAAAGAAUUUGGCUAAUGAUCACUGGAUUUUCACUUUCCGUCAUGACGUAUUAAAAUUUGAUGAGGUCUGUGAAAUUUAAGAACUGAUUUCUUAAGUGCAGUGGAAAUGUAGUUAACAUCGUUUGGUACUGCAACCCUGGAAACAUCUUCUGUGGCUACCUUUAAUCCACUUCCUUAUUUUUGUGGACAAUGGGAGAAGAAGAAGCAGGGGUAUUUGUAGCCAGGAGGCAAAGAGGGGAUAGAAUGACCAGGAUAACAAAGAGCAAACCUUGGAAGGUACGUAGGCCUAUAGGUAUGCAUGAGUGUAAGUAGAAGACAAGGUGUUGCGGACAUUUCCAGGGGACAGAGGGAUGACUCUGGAGAGGAAAGGAAAUUGUGAAGGAGGAAAGUGAGGAGUUUUGGUCACAUUUUAUGCUCAACUGAAAAUUGCUGUAAAGCCCUUCAUUGCUAUUAUUAAUGAUGGCUUUCACUCCACUCUCUCAGAAGCAUUUCUAGUAAAUUUAUGAAAAGAAGAUGAAUUAGUCUCUUUCUGGACUGGGGAGCCCCUCCUGGGAGGUCAACAAUUUUUUUACUUGUUCUUUUUUAGUAAUGGAGGUGGAGAAAGGUGAAAGGCCAAUUUCACCUAAUAAAGGAGUUCAUGAACAAAUAAUGAUCAUAGUAUGGAAUUUCAGGGUAUUUCAAAGCUAAGAGAAAAAUAUUAGGGGGCAGCGAAAAGAUAGAAGUUGGAGUUCCUACCAUGGCACAGUAGGUUAAGAAUCCAAGUUCAAGAGUUCCUGUUGUGGCGCAGUAGAAACCAACCCAACUAGUAAAACCAUGAGGAUGCAGGUUCAAUCCCUGGCCUUGCUCAGUGGGUUAAGGAUCUGGUGUUGCCAUGAGCUGGGGUUGUAGGUCGAAGACUCAGCUCGAUUUCUGCAUUAAUGUGGCUGUGGUGUAGGGCAGCAGCUGUGGCUCCAAUUGGACCCCUAGCCUGGGAACCUCCAUGAGCCUUGGGUGCUGCCCUAUAAAGGGAAAGAAAAAAAAAAAGAAUCUGACUUCAGCGGCUCAGGUUUGGGUUCAAGGAGGUUUGGGGUUAAUUCCUGGCCUGGCACAGUAGGUUUAAGGAUCUGAUGUUGCCACAGCUGUGGCAUAGGUCACAGCUGUGGCCCAGAUUUAAUCUUGGCCUAGGAACUUCCAUAUGCUGUGGGUGCGGCCAAAAAAAAAAAAAAGGAGUUUUCAGUAAAGGUAACAAGGUAACAUUUGUAAUGUGUUUUGAUUGCUUUGUACAAAUCUAGAGUCAUCACUUAGUUUAGGAAUAUAAAUGUCUUUAUGUAACAUAUACACUCAAAGUAUUUAUGUGGUAUGUUUAGAAUUAUAAAGGCUAGGAAAAGUACAAUAUGAAAAAUUGUAAUAAUACCAUGUCUUUCCCAUAAUAUUCUAAUCUUAAGGAGAAUAAUUUUCAAAUCCUUAAAAAAUUAUUUCACCCUCUGGAAUUCACAUCUCGGGUUUAGGAUAAGAAGUCAUAAUAUCUAAGAGGUCUUUUAAGGCUCAGAUCCAAGUGCAUUUUUCUUACAAGAUUGUGUGUGGGCUUGGUUUGAGCCUAAUAUGCUUUCAUCUGCUUUUGUGGAUACUGGAGAAGGCAGUCUAAGCAAAUGUUGAAUUCAUUCUCUGGUAAUGUCUUUUAUUAGGAAGGAGAAAUAGGCCCUCAGUUUGAUGGAAUCAUCUUCCACAUAGUCAAAUACUGUUGUGGUUUCUCUCCCAGUCAGCUUUUUUAACAUUACCUCCUGGGUUCAGGUCUUGCCAGAAGAGCCAUCCAGGGAAAUUUUAAGUGGAAACCUCAGGUGGGGUGUUUUCACAUUCUUUUUGUAUGUGUGUGCUUUUUAGGGCCACACCUACGUCAUAUGGAAGUUCCCAGUCUAAGGGUCAAAUUGGAGCUGUAGCCACUGGCCUAUACCACAACCACAGCAACACCAGAUCCGAGCCACGUCUGCCACUUACACCACAGCUCAUGGCAAAGCCAGAUCCUUAACCCACUGAGUGAGGCCAGGAAUUGAAUCUUGCAUCCUCAUGGAUCCUAGUCAGAUUCAUUACCACUGCGCCAUGACAGGAACUCCUGUUUUCAUAUUCUAAAGCUAGGUUUUCAAUUUUGUCCCUCAAUGAAAGCAAGUUAAAGAGUAAUUAUUGAGUCAUUUAAGACAAUUUGUAAGGUGCUUCAACUUUACAAAAUGGCGGCUCUCCCGUUUUGUACACAUCUAGAGUCAUCAUUUAGCUUUGGUGUCCAUCUGAGUUUAUGGCAAAGGCCUGGAGGCAGUCAUAGAGAUUCAGAUGAUCCUAUGGAGGAAAUACCGAUUUCCUCCUUUGCUGUCUUCCUCAGGCGUCAUGGGACGGUGCAAGGACAUCACAGCUUAACCUGGCUCUACCCACCAGUGAAGUUCAUUCAUUCACACUAAGCUGGAAGUAUAAGGAUUGUCCUUUACAAAGGCCAAAUUAUUGAGACAGUAGCUAAGAGACUGGAGGUGAGGCUGAAGCAUCCCCUGUGGUCUGUUCAAUGAACUCAGGAGAGGUGAUAAAAGAACCAAAUUCCUAACACCGUGGGUACCAAGAGCCUCUGGCCAUAACAUCAGAAAAUUUAGCCCAGAAAGAGUCCUCAGAUCAUUUCCCCCAGGGUCUCCUUGUGAUUCAGCUUGGGGUGAAAUGGAACGAGGAGCAGAGGAUGGGGCACGUGGCCGUUCUGAUGCACUGGACUCCUGUCAGGAAAGAGCAUCUUUGGAAUGCGAUCUGGCAAAACAUUUUUCGGUCUCCCGUUUCUGCUGUCAGUCCCAUUCCUGAUCUUUUCUCUCCCAAGUCAACGCCUAUUUUCUCCUUUCCUUCCAUGACCUGCUACUUCUUCCUUCCUUCCCGCCCAGUUGAGUCAAGCCUACCCCAGAAUUUGGGGCUAAGGAUUCAGUUGACUUGGAGGAAAGACUGGAAAUGAGGGUUGGAAUAUCCCAGGUGUUACUCGGAAGCUCACCUCUCCCACUGGCCUCUCAUAGAGAGGAAUUAUGGGUUUCCAGAAAUUGCAUUUUGUGGGCAUACCCUUAGCAUUAUAUGUUUUUAACUUAUUUUCUUUUUGCUUUGAUGAGUUCGAACAUCAAGUGACCCUUGAAGCGCUACAACACUUAAAUGCACUCUUUCAGGUAGGAACUGAGCAGGUGAGCUUCUAAACAUUCACUGGGUAAUUUGAUUUUCUCUUCGAUGGUUGGUUUUUUGGUGAAAAGUACAGUCCUUUUAGUUCCUAUAAAAUAGCAAUGAAGAGUAAAUUCUCUGUAAAUGUCACUUCUUAAUGGAAUUAGAAACAAAUUGUGAAUGCAUCAGAACCAAAGGGAUAACGUGUUAGAAGUUGACAGAAUUCAGGUAAGUCCAAUCAGACAUUCAGUUCUUUGGACUCUUGCUUUCAGACUAAACAAAAUACAGCUAUGUUCAUAGCUAAUUAUUCUCUUUCCAUCUUAGGAGUAUGAGAAAAGAGGAAGACAGCUGUUGGAUAUGGAGACUUUCAAAUGCAUAAUGAAGCAGAGCAUGAGGUUACAGAAUAAAAGUACUGAACAAAUAGAACAACUUUUCAUGAAAAUAGACUAUGAAGCAGUGGGCAGAAUUCAUUGGGAUGGCUUCUGCACAUAUCUGCAGUUAGCAUAUUCAGAGCAAGCUGAUGCUUUGGCUCGACAGAAAGAGGUUUCCUUCCAGCUGCCUGCUGUGCUGCAGGGACUGUCGUACGGGGGACCCGUGCUGCGCAUUCUCUCUGUGCCUGAUGACACCUUAAUCAUGAUCAGAGAAGAUGGAGCCAUUUAUUUCUGGUCCCUGCAGCUGAAGUUGAAAAGAAGAAAGCGAGUUUUUGACAAGCCCAUCAUUCGGAAGCGCCGGUGGGUGACGGAUGCCACCAGCAUGCCACAGUACAACAAACUGAUCCUAGGAACUGGAAACCGCGAAAUCCAGCUGUAUGAGUUCUCUAACUUGGAGCCUUACUGUCAGAUUGGUGGCCUGGAAGCUGUCCCUCUGAAACUGGACUACUGGUACGAGGAUCCUGACAAGUGCCUGAUUCUCUAUGGUGAUGACCAGGGAUGUGUGAACAUUCUGUUUUUGGCUUCUGUCGGUGAACUAUUAAGGGGACGUCACACCCCAGGUCCCUCUCAUGGGGGAGGUCACACUCCAGAUCCCUUUCAGAGGAAGUCACAUACCACACCUCCCAUCCUCAGGGAAGAAGUCACUCCAGGUCAAGUGUGCUGUUACUCUUGGUGGCUGAGGGUCCCCAGGAGGCAGCCGUCUCAGUCCUAUCACAGUGACACUCUGGAGCCAGAAGCAUGGAGAACUUGGAAGAAGCUGCCCACAGUUGAGAACAUGCCAAACAUUAGCAUUAAUAAUGCUGUGAAUUCUCCAAAUGUGAAUUACAUCCGCUGGAAAGUGCACGGAGACUGGGUUACUCAGCUGAACUACUACGAUUCUAUCAAUGCCGUUAUCUCAAGCUCCAAUCAUGAGCCCACUGCUCUAGUCAUAGGAAUCUUACAGCAGCCCUGUCCACCUCUGAUUCGCAGCCUUCAAACCACAUUGUCUUUCAAGGAAAGCUUCCUUGGUAAAUUUCUGAUUCACUGACAUUGAAAUCACUGAAGUGUUGGAAAGAGAUGUGCUCUGGGUAAGAAGUCGCUUGGGAAUUUUCAUUAGACUUUCUUGGAACUAAGAAGUGGUCGUUUUCUAGAACCGUGAUGGAUAUGAAUCUUAAGAAACUGAAAGCCAGCCUCCAGAAGCAGCUCAAAAUUCAGUGUUUGUUAUGACAGAACAAAAAUCAGCGAGCCCAGAAGAAGGAUCUCCAGGCUCUAGCCCUGGCUCUGCUGCUCAUAGAGCUGUGACCUCAGGCCUCAGCCCCCUCUCCAGUUCAGUGAGGAAGUUGGACAUGAGCCCAAAGUCACAGAUCUUCCUUUUGCUCUAAGCCCCUGUCCCUCCCUUCCUUCACCUCACAUCAUGGGAAGCAGAGGCCGCUACAGCUCUGAACCCCUGUUAGUGUGUCUAGAAACCUAGAUAGCUCAACUAUAGAAUUCCUCCACCCCGGCCCCUCGCAACAUCGUUGAAGUUUCUGUUUCUCUCCGGAAGGAGAAUGGGGAGGAGCCCUUAGAGCAGAACUCCUGGAAAGACUUGCCCUUUCUUACGCCUGUCCUCCAAGUUGGUCUAAGACCCACUCCAACCCAGCUGUGUCCCUCCACGCCAUUAAAGUCACUCUUGUAAGGGCCACCAGUGCCCCUCCUGCUGCUGAAAUCAGUGACCGGUCCUCGUCCCACUUGCCCUCUCAACACGAGCCGCAGGUCCCUUGGCUUCCUCCCUGCAGUCCUCUCACUUGGCGUGAGGACUCCACCUCUCAUGGUUUCCCGUCCUUCCUGCCUGUAGCCCCUUCUCGUUCUCCCUUACUGGUCGUCUGCAUCGCCAUGACUCGUGUCUAUGACGCAGUGACGGAGCCCCCAGCAUUCAGUCUUUGGUCCUCUUCUCUUCCACAUCUGCACCCCCGCGAUGAGCGCUCCGCUACCACUGCUGUCAAUUCCCAAAAGUACAUCUCUGGCCCAGCCCCCUCCCUGAACUUCUCUCUGGUAUUUCCAGCUGCCUU